CGCUCACAGGCUGCCCGGCUCGGACGCCCGCACUUCCUGGUCGGAACGGGCCUAGCGGCGGCGGGGUCCCACCGCACUCUCAGGGGCCGCGCUCGCUGCCCCCGCCCUCCUCCCGCUAACGCUCGGGGCGGAGCCGGGCGGGCGCGCGGGGCUCCCGCCCCUCUCCCGGCGGUCACCUGGGGCCCGGCGCAGCAGGUGUCUGGUCUGGCGUCCCGCGCCGGGGACUCGGAGCGCGAGCCGGGACCCUCGACGCGUCGGGUGAGCCCAGGGACUUGGCGGCAGGGCCCACCCCCGGAAUUCCAGAGGCGACCGCAAGGACCCAGCUGGCGGAGGAAGGUCCAGCAGGGAGGGAACGCGCUCGCUUCGCCCCACCUUGUGCAAAUGACUCGGAGCUUAGUUGCAUGGCAUUUUGGAAUGCCAGGUACCAAAAGUGAGAUUACUGAAGGCAGUAAAACUGAGAUUAUCAGCCAAGAAAGACCUACUGGAGAAAGCAAAGGAUGGAAGCGAAAGUGAAGCAGUGUUUUAUCCUAUGUACUUCGGCAGACCUUCUGCAAUUCAGCUAAAACCAUGACUGCUCUUUCUUCAGAGAACUGCUCUUUUCAGUACCAGUUACAUCAAGCAAAUCAGCCUCUAGAUGGUUUUACAAGAAACAAGUGUUGACGAGGAUGUGGAGAAAAAGGAACCCUAUGGCACAGUUGGUGGGAAUGCAAACUGGUGCAGCCACUGAGGUAAACAGUAUAGAGAUUCCUCAAAAAAUUAAAAAUAGAACUAUCCUACAAUCCAGUAAUCACACUACUGGGUAUUUACCCAAAGGAUAUGAAAACACUAAUUCGAAAGGAUAUAUCCAUCACUGUUUACUGCAGCAUUAUUUACAACAGCCAAAUUAUGGAAGCAGCCAUGUCCAUCAACAGAUGAAUGGAUAAAGAAGAUGUGAUACACACACACACUGAAAUAUUAUUCAGCCAUACAAAAGAAUGAAAUCCUGCUAUUUGCAACAAUAUAGAUAGAGCUAGAGAGUAUAAUGCUAAGUGAAAUAAGUCAGAGAAAGAUAAAUACCAUACGACUUCACUCAUGUGUGGAAUUUAACAAACAAAUGAACAAAGAAAAAAAAAUAGAGACAAACUAAAAAACAGACUCUCAACUAUAGAGAAUAAGCAGAUGGUUACCAGAGAGGAUUGGAUUGGGGGGAACGGGUGAAAUAGGUGAUGGGGAUUAAGAGUACACUUUUCUUGAUAAGCAGGGAGUAAUAUACAGAAGUGUUGAAUCACUAUACUGUACACCUGAAACUAAUAUAACACUGUACGUUAACUAUACAGGAGUUAAACUUUUUUUUAAUUAAGUAAAUAAAAAAUAAAAGCUAUUGGUUUUACCAAUACAAUGGAAGACCAGCACAUAAUGAAGAUGUUAAUCAAAUGUCAAUUAACCAAAAAAAUUUAUAUUAUUAUCUGUUUUAGCUGUUGGGCUCUUUUGAUUUCUCUUUUUUCAAGCUACAAUACUGAUUUUUUUUUAACUCAUGAAACUCACAUUAAAAAAUUUUUAGAAGUGUUGUUCUUGUUCAAGUAAUAGACAUCUUCUGUUUUGCUCUGCCUGUUAAUAAAGUGAAUGCAACUAUUUUCAACAAGUUUAUCCCACCUGGUGCUAUUAACUGGUGAAUACUUGAUGUCCGGGUGACAGCUGUGCUUCGUGAUUCCAGACUUGGACUUUCUCCCUUCUUAUUACUUUCUGGAGAAGGAUCUCGUUGGCUGAUUUUAGAACUGGUCACUGUUGUUUUGUUAUGACAAAUUGUCAAUGACUGAGUUUGACUAGUGCUUUUUGGCGGACCAUUCUGUGAGCUAGAUAAUACACCCAACUUCUGGCUGCGUAAUGUUAAAUUCUGAACCUAAGAACCACACAACAAAAAAUAAGGAUGAAACAGAUGGUAUUAACUGAGAUGUGAUAAUCAUUACCAUUAUAACAACAAUGACAAUACAUUUAUAUUGUUUUUUUACACAUCAAGUUCCAAGCACUUGAAACGACUGAUUCAUUCCAAAAGAAAGGGGAGUUAUUAUUCUAAGUAAUCAUAUUAAGUAAAAAUUUUUUAAAAAGACAUUAAGGGAAUCAUUAAGAACAAAAUGAAAACAGUAUAUAUACAUAUUAAAUGAACUAUGAAUAUGAGGAAAUCACUCUGCAACAUACUGCAUUUUGAAGUUACCAGCUCAGAGACAGCCAAAGGGAAGGAGAGAAAAGGGUACUCCAGAUAAAAAGGAAAACCUGAGCAAAGCCUCAGAGGCAGAAGAGCCCAGGAUGCAUUAGGGAAGGAGCAAUUCCUUCAACUCUGCUCUGACUUCUCCAGGCCAGGACUGUGAAACAUUGAAGGUUGCUAGUCCUUUAUACUCUUGUGAGAAGUUACUACAUACAGUUAGGAGUAUGCAUAUACAAUACUGUCAUCCUCAUAAAGAUCAGAAAGAGAACUGCAAAAAAAAAAAAAAGCUACCCAUUCUACAGAGAUUAUAAGGGAAUACUCAUCUUGUAAAUUAGAAAACUCAUUCAUCAAAUCACCUACCCAUUAUGAUAAUUAUGAAAAGCAUUUCCUAUCAACUCCUUUUUAAAAUCCUGUUGUUAUGGAAUACUCACUUGGCUUUGAGAACUAGAUCUGAUGAACUGAAAAGACUGUGCAUGGCCUUGAAAUGGCUUACGUCAUGGCUCCUGUCUACACCUGGGGCUAUUCUAAACAUACCACCAGUCCGGUGGUGGCAAGAUCAUCCCAAUGACUUUCACCUGAGGUUUAUAACAUUCCCAAACGGCAAGGCAGAAAAUGCCUCUCCAAUAGCUGCCUGACCUUUUACCUAUCUGGAAAUGAAUGUAUUAAAUACAUUUAUGCUAGCACUAACCCUGAGAAAGAAACUGAAGCAAAAGAUUCUAAAGUGACAAAGCAAAUGAGAUACUGCUGCUUAAUAAACAUUCUUCAGUUUUCAUGUGUGUUCUGCCUCUACACCUGUUAUCAUUAACUGAUACUCACAGGCUAAACCUUCUCUUCCAAAGUGCCAAAUGCAGUGGGUAGCCAACAGCAGGUGCUAAACAAAUUUUCACUUCAGAUCAGUUGAGGCUUGAUCAGACUAUUCUAAGCUACUGAAAGAAUUUUCUGAGACCAUAUGGAGCAUCUUCUCGGAUUUUUGUCAAAUAUUUCAUAGCAAUGUAGGUGGACUAAUAAUUGUUGUAUUACUGAAAUUUAAUACAAACAUAAAAUGUGCUAAAAUCCAGGUUUCUCAGCUAGCCACUCAAAGCCCUCCACAGUCAAGGCCCAAACCACCUCAAGCCCCAUCUUCCACUACUUCAAUCCACAAUAUUCACAUUCUAGCCAAACUGUUCUGCUCACCCUUCUCCAAACACAACUUAUACUUCCUCCAUUUAGAGCCCUUGCUCAAGUUUCUCUUGCCUAAAAUGCCAUUUUUCCUUAUAGCUGUCUCCUGAAGCCCAAUCCUUUCUUCAAGGCCCAGUAAAAAUCCUACUCUCUCCCAGAGAAACCUCUCCAAAGUCCCUGGUUAGAAAUAAUUUCUCCUCGGGCGCCUAGGUGGCUCAGUUGGUUAAGCGACUGCCUUCGGCUCAGGUCAUGAUCCCGGAGUCCUGGGAUCGAGUCCCACAUCGGGCUCCCAGCUUGGCGGGGAGCCUGCUUCUCCCUCUGACCCUAUCCCCUCUCAUGCUGUUUCCCUCUCUCUCUCUCUCUCUC